rnacentral:rRNA from 1 species
AGCAGCCGCGGUAAUUCCAGCUCCAAUAGCGUAUAUUAAAGUUGCUGCAGUUAAAAAGCUCGUAGUUGAAUUUCGGGACUAAUAUGUCGGUCGUGCCUCGGUACGUACUGGCUUAUUGGUUUCUCCUUUCUGAAGAACCAUGAUGUCAUUUAUUUGGUGUCGUGGGGAAUCAGGACUGUUACUUUGAAAAAAUUGAGUGUUUAAAGCAGGCUCACGCUUGAAUACAUUAGCAUGGAAUAAUGAAAUAGGACGUUUGAUUCUAUUUUGUUGGUUUCUAGGAUCGACGUAAUGAUUAAUAGGGAUAGUUGGGGGCAUUAGUAUUCAAUUGUCAGGAGGUAG